rnacentral:rRNA from 1 species
CGGGUGGCAGCAGUGGGGAAUUUUGGACAAUGGGCGAAAGCCUGAUCCAGCCAUGCCGCGUGCAGGAUGAAGGCCUUCGGGUUGUAAACUGCUUUUGUACGGAACGAAACGGCCUUUUCUAAUAAAGAGGGCUAAUGACGGUACCGUAAGAAUAAGCACCGGCUAACUACGUGCCAGCAGCCGCGGUAAUACGUAGGGUGCAAGCGUUAAUCGGAAUUACUGGGCGUAAAGCGUGCGCAGGCGGUUAUGUAAGACAGUUGUGAAAUCCCCGGGCUCAACCUGGGAACUGCAUCUGUGACUGCAUAGCUAGAGUACGGUAGAGGGGGAUGGAAUUCCGCGUGUAGCAGUGAAAUGCGUAGAUAUGCGGAGGAACACCGAUGGCGAAGGCAAUCCCCUGGACCUGUACUGACGCUCAUGCACGAAAGCGUGGGGAGCAAACAGGAUUAGAUACCCCAGU